rnacentral:rRNA from 1 species
AUUGAACGCUGGCGGCAGGCCUAACACAUGCAAGUCGCACGAUUGGCGGACGGGGGGGUAAUGUAUGGGAAACUGCCUGAUGGAGGGGGAAAAUUACUGGAAACGGUAGUUAUUACCGAUUACAAUCGGAUGUGCCCGGAUGUGAUUAGCUGGUAUGUGGGGUAAAGGCUCACCUAGACGACGAUCCCUAGCUGGUCUGAGAGGAUGACCAGCCACACUGGAACGGAGACACGGUCCAGCCUCCUACGGGAGGCAGCAGUGGGGAAUAUUGCACAAGGGGCGCAAGCCUGAUGCAGCCAUGCCGCGUGUAUGAAGAAGGCCUUCGGGUUGUAAAGUACUUUCAGCGGGGAGGCGUUACCCGCAGAAGAAGCACCGGCUAACUCCGUGCCAGCAGCCGCGGUAAUAC